UCAAAUGGAAUUUGAAGUCUCCGAUGCUAUUCAAGUUCCAUCAAAUUCAAUGCAAGAUUCGAUCUUGACAAUUCCUUUAUUGCCACUAGAACUCAUCACUUAAAUUCUGUUGAGGCUUCCAGUGAAAUCCCUCUUGAAAUUCAGGUCUGUUUCACAAUCUUGACUUGCUUUAAUCUCUAAUCAUGUAUUUAUCAAGACUCAUCUUAGUUUAUCUGCUAAUAACAAGAAUACGGAAGACACCCACCAUGUACUUUUUUUGGAUAUUGGUGGAAAGAAAUGGAAUUACAAAGAAUGUCCUCUUAAAUCUUUAUUUUAUGACGCUGUUACCGUGGCUCUUGAAUUGGAUUUUUCCAUUGAAAACGACAUGUAUUGGCUCUAUGUUAAGGGUUCUUGCAAUGGAUUGGUUUAUCUUGCCCAUGAUAGUUUAGAAUAUUCCCUUUUAUGGAAUCCAACAACUAGAAAGCACAAGAAUUUGCCACUUUUUAGACCUAGAUUGAAAAAAUAGGAACGCGCAUAUGGUUUUGGAUAUGAUGAGCUCCAUGAUGAUUAUAAGGUAGUGAUUAUUUCUUAUAAUUAUAUUGUUCGCGAUUCAGAUGACAUUGAGGUCAAAGUAUAUAGUCUAAAGAGUGAUUCUUGGACUAGUGUUGAUUAUUGUGAUGAGACAUUCUCUAACAAAAAAAGUGUUGGUUAUUGUGGGGAUAGAUUAAUUUUUUGAAGGCUCUUUUGUGGAUGGAAAAUUUCAUUGGGGUACUUCUAUUUCUGAUCCUGAUCCUAAUGUGCGUAAAGGUAGGAACAUUAUUGCUUUUGAUUUAGCUAAUGAGAAAUGGGAAAAGGUGGAGAAGCCCUCCUAUGGAGAAGGAGAGACUGAAUUGCUUGUGGGAAAGUUAGGAAGUCAUCUUUCUGUCUUCUGUGAUUAUAAGACAACUCAUUUAGGUGCUUGGGUUAUGAAGGAGUAUGGAGUGAAAGAAAGUUGGAUAAAGAUGUUUACCAUCAGGUAUCCAAAUGAUCCAGAAUGGUAUCCAAGCUUUUUCAUGUCAAAUAAAGGUGAAAUAUUGUCGGUGUUUAGAGCAACUUCCAUGAUAUACAAUUUAAAUGAUGACUCAUUCAGAUAUUCAGAUGUUACUAACUGUCAUGACGGUUGAUAUGCACAAUUCUACCUUGAAAGCCUAGCUUGCCCUUUUUCAACCCAAGGGACAGAGGACGCCAAAAAGCUGCUCGUAUCAAAACAAUCGAGUGACAAAUAACUUGUAAGAGUACUUUCUUCUCAAGUGCUUUCAAAUUCUGUUUGUUAUUUCAAAUAUUAAACAAGACACACAUGUGAAGGAUCUCUUUAAACUAUAUUGCUUCUGGAUUAGUUUUGGUUGUCUCCUUGCUGCUAAUCGUUAGAUGUAUAUUUUCUUCCAGACGAAUUACUUGUCAUUCCAUUUUGGUCAUUUCUUUCCCUUUGACAGUACCACUAACACAAGCAACACUGCAAUGCAAGGAUAAAGAACUUAGGAGGCUCAUUUUAUCUGCUUUGAUCAUGAGGGUAGGGUGGGGAUACCAAAGAAAAAGAAUAUAAGAGAAAGAGAGUUCGGAAUGAACUUCGUUUGAGAGGGUCCUAUCUAUUCUAAGGUUUUGUAGAUUGAAGUGCAAGCUUUUGUCAACUUUGUUAUAUGACCUAGAAUUUUGAACAAGAAUUAUUCCUACUAUAAAUUCUUUUCUCUUGUUUCUACACAGACUGGCAAAUUUUAUCUAUAGUUUGACCUAUCAAUAAAUAAAAGAAAAAUUGUAUAUGUAGUUUUACCUUUUCUGAUAAUUUGUAUAUGGUUUCUUGCUUUGUAAAUCACUUAAUUACUCCUUUUGGGCAGCAUAAUAUGAUCAUGUGAUUGUCAUGAGUACUGCUUGUGAGUUUUCUUAACCAUAGUUCUUAUGAUAUUUAUUUAUAACAUAUAUCACUUGAAGUUGCACUGGUCUGGACAUCAGAUAUGCUAACUAUGGUAUAUUUGUUUGUUCAUUGCUUAAGUUGCACAGUUCAGCGCUUUUGUCAUGUCCCAGAUGUGUAGCUGGUAUUGAUAAAGAGCUUGUCAUUUUCAUUCAAACAAGGCGGACUGUUACUAAUUAUGGUUUUGUUUGCUAGUACAUUUGAACACAGGACAACCCUGCAUUUGGUGCUUCUAUAUCUGCUGUGUUUCUACUUGUCAUCAUUUGAGUUGUUAUUUAUGUGACAAAAAGUUGUUCCUAUUCUUGAUGUUGAUCUCCGAAAGAAGUUAUAUGUAUAUUUUGUGAACUGGAAGUUAGGUUCAGUGUUUCGGAUCCCAACAAGAAUGGAAGAUGGUGCAACAUAGAUCAUGGACGUUACUUCAAAUGGAAAAAACCUUAGCCUGCCUCACUUGCUUUUUUCACUACAUAAAUAAGGAUAUAAGUGAAGUCCGAUAUGUAUGGAUGAUGGAUGACACACCCAGAAUUGCUAGGUAUAAACUUAGAGAUUAAUUAUAAUAUGUUUCUUUCCAUUCCUCAUGAGCCACUUAUUUCUCCGAAACAAGAGAUUAAAGUCAUCUUUCUCCUUUUCCCUAAGAAGUCGACGGUGUUAAUUUAUUCAAGUUGUUGAGACCAUAAAAAAGGGAAGAAACAAAUGAAGGUCUCUUGUUAAUUCAAAUGAUUUUAGGUUAAUUUGAUUUGGUUUGUCU
rnacentral:lncRNA from 1 species